UGCAAGCCGAGCGGUAGAGAUCUUUCGGGAUCUUGAGAGCGGCGUACGGGUGCGGAACACGUGUGCAACCUGCCUUUAUCUGGGGGAUAGCCUUUCGAAAGGAAGAUUAAUACCCCAUAAUAUACUGAAUGGCAUCAUUCGGUAUUGAAAACUCCGGUGGAUAGAGAUGGGCACGCGCAAGAUUAGAUAGUUGGUGAGGUAACGGCUCACCAAGUCUACGAUCUUUAGGGGGCCUGAGAGGGUGAUCCCCCACACUGGUACUGAGACACGGACCAGACUCCUACGGGAGGCAGCAGUGAGGAAUAUUGGACAAUGGGUGAGAGCCUGAUCCAGCCAUCCCGCGUGAAGGACGACGGCCCUAUGGGUUGUAAACUUCUUUUGUAUAGGGAUAAACCUACCCUCGUGAGGGUAGCUGAAGGUACUAUACGAAUAAGCACCGGCUAACUCCGUGCCAGCAGCCGCGGUAAUACGGAGGGUGCAAGCGUUAUCCGGAUUUAUUGGGUUUAAAGGGUCCGUAGGCGGAUCUGUAAGUCAGUGGUGAAAUCUCACAGCUUAACUGUGAAACUGCCAUUGAUACUGCAGGUCUUGAGUGUUGUUGAAGUAGCUGGAAUAAGUAGUGUAGCGGUGAAAUGCAUAGAUAUUACUUAGAACACCAAUUGCGAAGGCAGGUUACUAAGCAACAACUGACGCUGAUGGACGAAAGCGUGGGGAGCGAACAGGAUUAGAUACCCUGGUAGUCCACGCCGUAAACGAUGCUAACUCGUUUUUGGAAUGUAAGUUUCAGAGACUAAGCGAAAGUGAUAAGUUAGCCACCUGGGGAGUACGAACGCAAGUUUGAAACUCAAAGGAAUUGACGGGGGCCCGCACAAGCGGUGGAUUAUGUGGUUUAAUUCGAUGAUACGCGAGGAACCUUACCAAGGCUUAAAUGGGAAAUGACAGGUUUAGAAAUAGACUUUUCUUCGGACAUUUUUCAAGGUGCUGCAUGGUUGUCGUCAGCUCGUGCCGUGAGGUGUUAGGUUAAGUCCUGCAACGAGCGCAACCCCUGUCACUAGUUGCCAUCAUUAAGUUGGGGACUCUAGUGAGACUGCCUACGCAAGUAGAGAGGAAGGUGGGGAUGACGUCAAAUCAUCACGGCCCUUACGCCUUGGGCCACACACGUAAUACAAUGGCCGGUACAGAGGGCAGCUACACUGCGAAGUGAUGCAAAUCUCGAAAGCCGGUCUCAGUUCGGAUUGGAGUCUGCAACUCGACUCUAUGAAGCUGGAAUCGCUAGUAAUCGCGCAUCAGCCAUGGCGCGGUGAAUACGUUCCCGGGCCUUGUACACACCGCCCGUCAAGCCAUGGAAGUCUGGGGUACCUGAAGUCGGUGACCGUAACAGGAGCUGCC
rnacentral:rRNA from 1 species